rnacentral:rRNA from 1 species
GUGGGGAAUCUUGCGCAAUGGCCGAAAGGCUGACGCAGCGACGCCGCGUGUGGGAUGAAGGUCUUCGGAUUGUAAACCACUGUCGGGGGGGACGAAGUUCUGACGGUACCCCCAAAGGAAGCACCGGCUAACUCUGUGCCAGCAGCCGCGGUAAUACAGAGGGUGCGAGCGUUGUCCGGAAUCACUGGGCGUAAAGGGCGCGUAGGUGGCCCGAUAAGUCGGGGGUGAAACGCUGCGGCUCAACCGCAGCACUGCCUUCGAGACUGUCAGGCUUGAGCACGGUAGAGGCUGGUGGAAUUCCCGGUGUAGCGGUGGAAUGCGUAGAGAUCGGGAAGAACAUCGGUGGCGAAGGCGGCCAGCUGGGCCGUUGCUGACACUGAGGCGCGACAGCGUGGGGAGCAAACAGGAUUAGAAACCCGGGUAGUCC